GGCUGCAGUGGGGAAUAUUGCACAAUGGGGGAAACCCUGAUGCAGCAACGCCGCGUGAGUGAUGACGGCCUUCGGGUUGUAAAGCUCUGUCUUCAGGGACGAUAAUGACGGUACCUGAGGAGGAAGCCACGGCUAACUACGUGCCAGCAGCCGCGGUAAUACGUAGGUGGCGAGCGUUGUCCGGAUUUACUGGGCGUAAAGGGAGCGUAGGCGGACUUUUAAGUGAGAUGUGAAAUACCCGGGCUCAACUUGGGUGCUGCAUUUCAAACUGGAAGUCUAGAGUGCAGGAGAGGAGAAUGGAAUUCCUAGUGUAGCGGUGAAAUGCGUAGAGAUUAGGAAGAACACCAGUGGCGAAGGCGAUUCUCUGGACUGUAACUGACGCUGAGGCUCGAAAGCGUGGGGAGCAAACAGGAUUAGAUACCC
rnacentral:rRNA from 1 species